GAAUAAGAUGGCGGGGAAGAAGAAUGUUCUGUCGUCCCUCGCGGUUUACGCGGAAGAUUCAGAGCCCGAGUCUGAUGGCGAGGCUGGAAUCGAGGCGGUGGGCAGCGCGGCUGAGGAGAAAGGCGGAUUGGUAUCUGAUGCCUAUGGGGAGGAUGACUUUUCUCGUCUAGGGGGUGAUGAAGAUGGUUAUGAAGAAGAAGAAGAUGAGAACAGUAGACAGUCGGAAGAUGACGAUUCAGAGACUGAAAAACCUGAGGCUGAUGACCCAAAGGAUAAUACAGAAGCAGAAAAGCGAGACCCCCAGGAACUCGUGGCCUCCUUUUCUGAAAGAGUUCGGAACAUGUCGCCUGAUGAAAUCAAGAUCCCGCCAGAACCCCCUGGCAGAUGUUCAAAUCACUUGCAAGACAAGAUCCAGAAGCUUUAUGAACGAAAGAUAAAGGAGGGAAUGGAUAUGAACUACAUUAUCCAAAGGAAGAAAGAAUUUCGGAACCCUAGGUGAGAGGUCUUAGGACCAGAGCUAUGUCUGGUCUUGCUCCAUUUAAUGCUCAAGCUAGUGACAUACAGGGGAAAGAGCAUGGCCCUUGUGUGGGUCUGAGUGUGGUAAGCCCAAUCCAGCUAUGCAGACUGAAGGUCAGUGAGACAAAACUCAGCCAUCACCUUGACCCCAUGCUCCUCCCGGCCCCUAGUUAACAGGUCCAUCUCCCUGGGAGGGUGGAGGGCCAUCAGGAAGCUUGCUUAGAGCGGCUGAGCUGGGUUUAAAGGUUUUGAAGGUUUUGUGUCAGCCCCAGGAGCUGGAUGGUUCAGGUCCCAUGCAGGGACGUGGACUUGUGCCUGCUCAGCGCCGGUGCUGUUCUUUCAGCAUCUACGA
rnacentral:sRNA from 1 species